UGCGGUAAUUUGACCGUGCAAAGGUAGCAUAAUCAGUAGUCUUUUAAUUGAAGGCUUGUAUGAACGGUUGGAUGAGGGAAAAGCUGUCUUUUUUGCAAAUUAAAAUUUGACUUUUAAGUGAAAAGGCUUAAAUUAGAUAGGGGGACGAUAAGACCCUAUAAAACUUUAUAAAAGACUAAUUUCAUUUUUAAAUUCUGUUAAAAAAUUAUGAAAUUUUUCUUUUAUUUUGUUGGGGCGACAUUAAUAUAAGCUGUAACUGUUUAAAUAAAAAUUAUAAUUAUCAUUAUUGUUUGAUCCCUCUUUGAGGAUAAAAAGACUAAGUUACUUUAGGGAUAACAGCGUAAUUUUUUUUGAGAGUUCUUAUCGAAGAAAAUAGUUGCGACCUCGAUGUUGAAUUAA
rnacentral:rRNA from 1 species